GGGUAUGUAGCUCAGUUGGUAGAGUGCUCGCCUAGCUUGCACAAGGCCCUGGGUUCAAUCCCCAGCACCACCA
rfam:Ictidomys tridecemlineatus contig101549, whole genome shotgun sequence.